rnacentral:rRNA from 1 species
UUUGAUUUACUCCCGAAAACCCUUCAGCAGAUGAAAAUGCCUAGUUGACCAUGUGAAGCUAAGCAGAAUCAGGCCUGGUUGAUACUUGGAUGGGAGACUGGCAGGAAAUACCAGGCCUAUUCCAAGU